rnacentral:rRNA from 1 species
GAUGAACGCUGGCGGCGUGCCUAAUACAUGCAAGUCGAGCGAACAGACGAGGAGCUUGCUCCUCUGACGUUAGCGGCGGACGGGUGAGUAACACGUGGAUAACCUACCUAUAAGACUGGGAUAACUUCGGGAAACCGGAGCUAAUACCGGAUAAUAUAUUGAACCGCAUGGUUCAAUAGUGAAAGACGGUUUUGCUGUCACUUAUCGAUGGAUCCGCGCCGCAUUAGCUAGUUGGUAAGGUAACGGCUUACCAAGGCGACGAUGCGUAGCCGACCUGAGAGGGUGAUCGGCCACCCUGGAACUGAGACACAGUCCCGACUCCUACGGGAGGCAGCAGUAGGGAAUCUUCCGCAAUGGGCGAAAGCCUGACGGAGCAACGCCGCGUGAGUUAUGAAGGUCUUCCGAUCGUAAAACUCUGUUAUUAGGGAAGAACAAAUGUGUAAGUAACUAUGCACGUCUUGACGGUACCUAAUCAGAAAGCCACGGCUAACUACGUG